ACCAAGCUGUCGAUUUUAGUUUAACUUGGUCAUUUGACGCAUUCAGGCGGUUCGCUAAUGGUUUCCGGAUAUAGCUAAUGUUACAGUAAAAUAAUAAAAUGAAUAUAUUGAAUAUAAGAAAUGCUGUACUUGGUUCAUUUUCCAUGGUAAGUCAUAGCUAUAAGCAAUGGUUUAUGGUUUUACCACCUUAAUUCUUAUCAUUCUCUUUUACAAAUAUAGGUUCAUCCAUUAAAGAGCUCUACGUCCAGCCUGGUCGUCAUACACAAUCCGUACGCCAAACUUAAUCUCAGAUUUCGUGCCUGUAUCUCAAAGGGAACAAUUGCACCAAAAUGUGCACGUCCCGACCCCUUAGACAGUGUUAUCGCAGGUGUGUGUUAAUGGUUUUAAUGUGUUCGGCCAUCAUAUGGACCCUGUUUGUCACACACUGAAAUGAUUCUUUGGGUUAAUCCAAUACUACACAACAGUGUUCUUUGGGUCUCAAAGAAAUCAGUACGGCAAAUAACCGCUAAUCUUCAUCAUUGCUGACUGAAUUGCUAUGAAUUAUAUUAUUAUAUCACUUAGCAGCAACAUAAAAAGGCAGAUAGAUGAUCUGUAGCAGAGGGAGAAAAAUAAGCAACGCGUAAAAAAGUCCUUUUUUCACUCAGACAGGAAAAGAAGGCAGGGAAGUUAAGCAAUAAAUGAAACUCACCUGUGAGCUGGAGUAAGGGGUGGGGGGUCGAUUAACAGAAGCAGCAUGGAGGAGAUCAGAGAGGAGUGAGAAUGGAUAAAAGAGGCUUAUUCAGUUCAUUGCUUAGAAAGAAAAUGGUUAAUAACAACAAGACAUCAAGACAUGUGGGACAUUUGUUGAUCCGGGGAACUGGUGGUUUGCAAAUAGUCUUGUUGAGCUACAACUUGGACCCGCCUGAACACAACUGUAGGCCUCCUUGCCUUUGUUUGGCCCUUCAGGCAAGGCAAGUUUAUUUUUAGAGCACAUUUCAACAUAAGCCAGGUCUAAAUGCUUAACAUAAAACCAUUCAAACCAUCAACAAAUAAGACCAAAAGGGGUAUUUAAAGACAGACAAUAAAAGUUAAAUUGCAGUUCAACAGUAAAAAACAUCCGUUUCAUCCAAAGUCUUAAUCUGAAGCCGCGGAGUCUCAGCAGACCUCCAGCUGUCUGGGAGUUGGUUCCAGAGAUGUGGAGCAGAAGAACUGAUGCGGCUUCUCCAUGUUUGAUUCUGACUCCCAAAACACAAAGGAGACCCUUCCUAGAGGACUUGAAGGUCUCAUGCUGAUUGUGGUGGACCCAAGAGCAGAACACGGAAGAAAAGGUUCAACAGUCUUUACUAUAGAGAACCAGGGGUUUCAAUGUUGAGAGCAAGCGGGGGAAUGGUCGGCAGGCUGGAGCAGGCCGAAAUGCAGGUUACGGGGCGGCAGGGGACCUGAGGCUGAGGCAAACAAAGAGCGUUAACGGCUGGCAAGAUUGUGGUGCACUUGGUGGGAGGGGCACCGCCCAGACCACCACAGUACCUCCCCCUCAACGGGAGCCUCGAGGCGACCCACCGGGCUUGUCCGGAUGAAUCCGGUGAAACUCCCUGACUAAGGCAGGAUCCAAGAUGAGGGACCGAGAUAGGAGGAAAGCCAUGCUUUCUGACCUGAUUUGUAUUCAGGAGCGGGUGUCUGGCGGCGGUUUGCAAUGCUCUGGUUGUUUUCAGCUGAGCGGAGUAGGGCAGAGCGGGUGUCUCUCCAGACCUUGCGGCAGCGGUGCAUUUGAACUGACGGGACAGCUAUCUCAUCCUGUAGAGAGGGAAACAGGGGCGGCCCACAGAUGACUCAAACGGGGACAAACCUGUGGCAGUGCUGGUCAGGGAAUUCUGGGUUUAUUUGAUCCAUGCUAGUUGUGCGCUCUAGGCAGUGGGAUUGGUGGCGGUUACACACCGUAGCGCAGCCUCCAGGUCCUGAUUAGCUCUGUCCGACUGGCCAUUAGUCUGUGGGUGAAAACCAGAAGAGAGACUGACAGUGGCACCAAGAGCUUGACAGAAUGACCUCCAUACCUAGGAGAUGAUUUGUGAAGACUGUUGCGCCAUGGAGUGGUUCAAAAGAAUUUAUUAGUGGUAGGGGGUACUUUUUCUUAAUGGUUAUAUUGUUCAACCCACGACCGUCAAUACAUGAUCGGAGGGAGUGGUCCUUCUUGGAAACAAAAAAUAAUCCAGCACCAACAGGGGAUGAGGACGGUCUGAUUAUACCAGCACUCAGUGACUCCUUGAUAUACAGUACUUCUCCAUAGCUUCCCUCUCUGGACGCGACAAGUUAUAGAGCCGACUAGUUAGAAGAGGAGCACCGGAGACGAGAUCAAUGGCACAGUCAUAAGGACGGUGAGAGGCAAAGAGAGCGCUAGGUUCUUAAUGAACACCAAACCCAAAUCGUGAUACUCUGCAGGUAUGGUGGACGGAUCUGGAGGCUUAGAGCUGGAUGGUGAUAUGGCAACAUCUGCUGGGGACAGGGCUGACUGCAAGCAUGAAGAGUGUGACAAUAUGAGCUCCAGCCACGGACACUUCUUGCUGACCAGUCUCCAGAGUAGGGUUCCAGGUCCGAAGCAUGGGACUCUGAGUGAGGGAGGCACUGGGGAAGAAGCCGGAGGGAGCUGCGGGCUGGGCUGUGGAGAAAUGGCUGCAGGGGUAAGUGGAGCGGGUAACCGAGUCACCUGAUGUCAUAAUUGAGCAAUUUAGGUUACCAUAGCCUGGCUGUUUUCAAAAAGGGUCUAGAGAUAUUGCUGAUGUUGUCCAAGUAGAGCUCCUUGGCUUGAAAUGGCUUGUUGGAAGGUGGAUUCCUGAUCCGGUUCUGCUGGGUCCACAUGGCCAGUUGUUCUGUCAUGUUGAUUGUGGUGCUGGACCCAAGAGCAGAACACGGGAGAAAAGGUUCAACAGUCGUUAUUAUAGAAAACCAGGGGUUUCAAUGUUGAGAGCAGGCGGGGGGGAAUGGUCGGCAGGCUGGGGCUGGCUGAGUCCGGAAUGCAGAUUACAGGGAAUCCAGCGUGGCAGGGGACCAAAUGCAAACAAAGAGCGUUAACGGCUGGCGAGAUUGUGGUGCGUUUUAAGCCUUUGCAUAAGUUCCAGGUUUGUGAACUGAUGAUCUGGCGGGGACUGAGUGGAAGGCUGGAGAAUAUAAAGCCUGGAGCUUGAUUAGUGAAACACCUUCCGCUGUGCCAAUCAAUUUUUGGGAGGGGCACCUCCCAGACCACGACAGAAGGGGCCUGAUGGUUCAUAAGGUAGCAGCAGGUCAGACAUGUAUUUUGGCCCUAAACCAUUCAGUGCUUUAUAAACCAACAAAGAACUUGUAGGACAGGAAGCCAGUGUAAAUACCACAGAACUGGAAUGAUCUGAUCCACUUUCCUGGUCUUAGUGAGGACUCGAGUUGGAGCAUUCUGAUUGACUUUUUACAGACCAGUAAACACCGUAACAUAUUAAUAUUACAUUAAUGUCCAAUAGUCCAGUCACGGACGAUGAAUGCAGGGACAAGUUUUCCCUUCCCCCUGCUCCAGAUAAUCAUAUUUGGCUUUUUGAAUUGGACGGGCGCUUUCAACACGGUCGUCCCCCACAAAUCCAUCCAUAAACUCUCCACACUUGGUCUGCACCCCACCCUCUGUGACUGGCUGUUUGACUUUAUGACUGGCAGGCCUCAGUCUGUCAGGAUUGGAAACAGGACUUCAGCCAGCAUCUUCACCAACAUUGGCACCCCACAGGGUUGUGUCCUCAGCCCCAUCCUCUACACCCUGUUCACCCAUGACUGUGUUGCCUCCCACAAGGAUAACAUCGCCCUGAAGUUUGCUGAUGACACCGCAGUGAAAGGACGCAUCACUGGGGGGAACGAAGAGGCAUACAGGAGGGAGGUGGCCAGUUUGGUGUCAUGGUGCGAGGAUAACAACCUCACCCUCAACACUGACAAGACCAAGGAGCUGAUAGUGGACCUGAGGAAGGAGAGGAGACUUUAACCACUUUUCAUCAAGGAGCUUGAAGUUAAGAGGAUGAGCAGCUUCAAUACCCCGGGGUCCACUUCAGUGAGGACCUCACCUGGACACUCAACACAACACAGCUGGUCAAGAAGGCUCCACAGUGGCAGAGGCUGAGGAAGUUUGGGAUGUCUCCUAAGAUCCUCAGCAACUUCUACAGCUGCAUCAUUGAGAGCAUAUUGACCAGCUGCAUCACCGUGUGGUACGGCAGCAAAUCCACCAUGGACCGCAAACGCCUGCAGAGAGUGGUGGGGACAGCUGAAAAGAUCAUCAAGACCCCACUGUCCUCUCUGCAGAGCAUCUACUACCGCAGGGUUCACAGGAGAGCUGCCUCCAUUCUCAAAGAUCCCACCCACCCCCAACAUGCUCUGUUCAAGCUUCUACCCUCAGGCAGCAGGUACAGAAGGGCCAAAUGCAGGACCACCAGACUGAAAAACUCUUUUUUCCCCACUGCCAUUAGAGCCAUCAACAGCUGAGAGGACUCUAUAACCUAAUCCACAACUGGUCUGCACUUUAGCUUGUUAGAAUUUCACUUACUGUUACUUUACUGUUAAAUUAAAUGAGUGCAAUAUAAAUUAAGUUUUUUCUUUUACAACCUGCUCAGUUUUGCACUUUUCCUCCUCACUUCAUUUCUGCCUUAUCCUUACCUCAUUUUUAUUUAAUUUCAUGUACAUUUAUGUAAAUAUUGUAUUUUAAUUUUAAUUUUAAUAUUGGUCGGCUUUCCGGAAAGGCAAGAACAAGAAUUUCAAUACACAGGGCGUGUGUAAAUGACAAUAAAAAUCUUUGAAUCUUGUACAUGUGUGAUGUGAAUGUGAAGAAAUGUUACACUUAGCCAGUAAUUGUUUAAAAUGUGGCAAAAUCAAUUUCCUUUGCAUGUGCAAUAAAGAAAGGUGUUAUUGAGUAAAAUGUAUUUAACAUCUGAAUCUCCAGUCUCAUCUCUUGAGUAGAUGCUACAGUUUGCGGCUCCAUUCUAUCCACGUUGUGCUGCGGGUCGAAAGUGCUUCGAUGCCAUCUGUCAGUGGAAGUACCUUAAGAAAUGCUCGAAUACGUCUAAUAUUAGCAGCUUCUCCCAGCGUACAUCCCCUCAGUGACUGUGUCCUGGGGGAUGACCAUCUGGUGGCUUGUUUUAGGAUUUGUACAACAAGGAGGAGGGAGAGCAACACUAUUCUUCUACAGCAUGCAUACUCUGCAAACAUGAAAUACUGCAUUAUGAAAAAGGACAUUUUCCCAUUCUCUACCAGUCCUACUGAGCUUGGAGAGAAAACCAAUAAUGUCUACUUGGUCUGCUCAUGAACUCAUGAAUAUAUAGUGUACACAAGCAGACUGUUUGAAAACAUCCUCCACAGUUGUGGUGCAGAUAUUUUCAAAAGGUUCUAAUAUGAUUACUAGGGCUGUCAAACUAAACGCGUUAAUCCAUGCAAUUAAUAUGGCCGAGAUUAAUGCAACAAAAUAUCCUAACGUAGUUGAUGCACGUUUGUUUACUUCCGGCCCCGGAACUGCACCAACUGUGCAGAGGAAUUACUACACAAACAGAAGACCACAUAAAGCACUGCUAUGCCAAGCUUGCUGCUAGGCUAAGCUAGCUGCUAGGCUACUUUCAUCUUAACAUCUUAUGUUACCCUGCGCGGCACACAGUCUGCAGAGGACCACCACUGUAGCCCUUAAAGAAUGUGAAUGAACGAAUGGCCGCUUAUUCAUCUCAUUAUUUUAUAAGAAAUAUGUUUGCACAUACAAGGAAUUUGACCUUGUGAUUGAUUUGCAAAUUGAAUAAUAUGUAUAAUAUAAACCAUAAUUAAAAAUAAGAAAACUAGAUAUCUAAAAUAUUAAAUAUGAACAACAAAAAUAUAAUAAUACUUAUGUAAAUAAGUUUGUUGUUAAUAUAUAUUACAUAUAUUAUAAUACGGGUAGAUGAAAUCCAGCGUACUGAUUAGUUGAGAGUGAGUCACGGGGGGUGCAUUAUUCAGCGAUUGACCCGAGCGUUCCAACACCACAAAUCAUCGGUCUCCAGCAAUGUGACCUUUCGCAACCGGACAAUUAAAGUGAACGUCAUGAGCGAUGUGAAUGAAUGAGGCAGUACUUUAUCUUCAAUAAUGUAACAGUUCGAGGGGUAACAAACAACGAACUGUUACAUUACUGGACUAUAAAGUACAGGAUUUGGAGUGACCAACAGUAUAAUCUAUACAAUAAGUGAUUCCUUUAUCCACAGUCAGGAUUGAUCUCUUCUGGUUGGAAGAAAGAUAUUAAGUUUAGACCACUUCAAAUGCAAUAUUUAGCCACCAAAAUUAUUUUUGUUACAAAGAGUGUUCUCUAUCAAAACAACAGUUCUGCCAUAGUAAUAUUUCCAUCAACAUUUAGAUUUAGCAAAGAGAAUGAUGCGCUUUUACUUUUUAUUGCCGCAAGCUGUCCAACAACACACCAAUUAUUCCUGUUUGGUGUUGUCUCAAUGUUUAGGGUGAAAUCAUAUUUCUUCAGGAAUAAAUCCUGUGGAUUCUCUUUGUAGCAGCUGAAGGUUUCUUUGAAUAAAUUCUGCAAAUCAGCUGUCUUAUUGUUACAUGUCCUGUGCUGAGCCAAACCAACAGUGAAUUUAUCUUACUGAAGUAUGAAACGAAUAUGCAACCAAGGUGUUUAAAGAAGGAUCCAUCCAUCCACAAACCACUUAUCCUGCACACAGGUUCGCAGGGGGGCUGAAGUCUAUCCCAGCCAACUUUGGGCAAUUGACAGGGUACACCCUGGAUUGGUCAGCAGCCAAUUGCAGGGCUAACACAGAGACACACAACCAUUCACACUCACGUUCACACACCUAUGGGCAAUUUAGAGUCAUCAAUUAACCUGAUCCCCAGAGCAUGUCUUUGGGAGGAAGCCAGAGUACCUGGAGAGAACCCACACACAGGGACAGGGAGAACAUGCAGACUCCACAGAGAAAGGCAACUGGGCGGAGUCAAACCCAGGACCUUCUUGCUGGGAGACAACAGUGCUUACCACCACACCACCGUGCCGCCUUGAAAUAAUAAAUAAAUAAAAAAACCUGCAUGAAUGUAUGUAACCAGCUUAUAGUUACAUGUAGCUGGCUCUUGUAGAAAAUCUAAUAAAUCAGCAUAAACCUUUUACAAAGAUAUCAUAGGAUCCACUGAAGGAUCCAUUGACCAUACACACUUGACCUAAUCCCACAA
ensembl:lncRNA